rnacentral:rRNA from 1 species
GUAGGUGGCAAGCGUUGUCCGGAAUUAUUGGGCGUAAAGCGCGCGCAGGCGGUUCUUUAAGUCUGAUGUGAAAGCCCACGGCUCAACCGUGGAGGGUCAUUGGAAACUGGAGAACUUGAGUACAGAAGAGGAAAGCGGAAUUCCACGUGUAGCGGUGAAAUGCGUAGAGAUGUGGAGGAACACCAGUGGCGAAGGCGGCUUUCUGGUCUGUAACUGACGCUGAGGCGCGAAAGCGUGGGGGAGCAAACAGGAUUGGAUACCCUGGUAGUCCACGCCGUAAACGAUGAGUGCUAAGUGUUAGGGGGUUUCCGCCCCUUAGUGCUGCAGCUAACGCAUUAAGCACUCCGCCUGGGAGUACGGCCGCAAGGCUG